GACUUGAAUCCAGAUCAUGUCCAUCAAACAGGUGCACAUCUUUUCCUUAUGAAUUCCUUGCUUUCAGAUCAAACUGAUGUGCGAAAAAAAAAGAUUCUGGAACUUGCACAACACAAAGAAAACAAAACAGUGUGGGUCACAACACCUUGUCCAAAGCUUACCUGGGGCAAUCAGGAGUCAAUAUGGCCUCUGUCUUACUCAGCGCUGGGUGCAGUUCCAACAGAGAGAAUCCAAUACCUAGCUAAGCACAAAAGAGACUUCUCAGCAUGGGAGGACCACCUGAGGAAAGACGAUGAGGUGAUCUCCUCCAGGAAGACAUUACGUUCUUCCUCCAAGACAGCCCAGUAUGAGCUCGUUGUCCGCCUGUCAACACCCAAGACCAGGUCCCGAAGCUCCCAAGAAAUGGGUCCUCCUCACACGUCGUGUUGUGAGUACAGCUGCCCCAUCUGGCACAUAGACCCCAGAGUGAGAACUGAUGAGACCACUCCACGGCUACUACAGCUAGCCAAUCCCAAAGCGAACCACCUCAACUUCAAAAGCAACAGGGAGAAAGUGGAAACAUACAUUUCCUAUGCUGCCAAAACAGCCCAGACCACUCCCAGGCUGGACCAGCUCUCACUGCCGAAGUUGAGGGAUUGUAAAAUGUUCUUUGAGCGAGGACAUCCAGAGGACUCCAUUUGGCCAGUGUCAAGGAGAGCCCGUCAGGCCACAGCAACUUCACGACUUCAAACUCUAUCAGCUCCCAAGGGACUUAAUAAGGACUACAUCCCUCUGAGAGACCUGCCACCUUUAUGA
rnacentral:lncRNA from 1 species